rnacentral:tRNA from 1 species
GCACCUGUAGCUCAGUGGAUAGAGCAUUGGUCUUCGAAACCAAGGGCCGUGGGUUCGAAUCCCUCCAGGUGCG